CCUACGGGAGGCUGCAGUGGGGAAUAUUGGACAAUGGGGGCAACCCUGAUCCAGCCAUGCCGCGUGUGUGAAGAAGGCCCUCGGGUUGUAAAGCACUUUCAGUGAGGAAGAACGCCUGGUGGUUAAUACCCAUCAGGAAAGACAUCACUCACAGAAGAAGCACCGGUUAACUCCGUGCCAGCAGCCGCGGUAAUACGGAGGGUGCGAGCGUUAAUCGGAAUUACUGGGCGUAAAGCGCGCGUAGGUGGCUUGAUAAGCCGGUUGUGAAAGCCCCGGGCUCAACCUGGGAACGGCAUCCGGAACUGUCAAGCUAGAGUGCAGGAGAGGAAGGUAGAAUUCCCGGUGUAGCGGUGAAAUGCGUAGAGAUCGGGAGGAAUACCAGUGGCGAAGGCGGCCUUCUGGACUGACACUGACACUGAGGUGCGAAAGCGUGGGUAGCAAACAGGAUUAGAUACCCGGGUAGUC
rnacentral:rRNA from 1 species